rnacentral:rRNA from 1 species
ACUCAAAGGAAUUGACGGGGGCCCGCACAAGCGGUGGAGCAUGUGGUUUAAUUCGAUGCAACGCGAAGAACCUUACCUACCCUUGACAUCCUGCGAAUCUGGCUGAAAGGUUGGAGUGCCGAAAGGAGCGCAGAGACAGGUGCUGCAUGGCUGUCGUCAGCUCGUGUUGUGAGAUGUUGGGUUAAGUCCCGUAACGAGCGCAACCCUUGUUUUUAGUUGCCAGCGAGUAAUGUCGGGGACUCUAAGAAGACUGCCGGUGAUGAACCGGAGGAAGGCGGGGACGACGUCAAGUCAUCAUGGCCUUUAUGGGUAGGGCCACACACGUGCUACAAUGGGACAUACAGAGGGUAGCCAACCCGCGAGGGGGAGCCAAUCCCAUAAAAUGUCUCGUAGUCCGGAUUGGAGUCUGCAACUCGACUCCAUGAAGUUGGAAUCGCUAGUAAUCGCGAAUCAGCAUUGUCGCGGUGAAUACGUUCCCGGGCCUUGUACACACCGCCCGU